UACAGGAGGUCUCAAGCGUUGUUCGGAUUCAUUGGGCGUAAAGGGUGUGUAGGUGGCGCCGUAAGUCCGGGUGUGAAAUUUCGGAGCUUAACUCCGAAACUGCAUUCGAUACUGCGGUGCUUGAGGACUGGAGAGGAGACUGGAAUUCAUGGUGUAGCAGUGAAAUGCGUAGAGAUCAUGAGGAAGACCAGUGGCGAAGGCGGGUCUCUGGACAGUUCCUGACACUGAGACACGAAGGCCAGGGGAGCAAACGGG
rnacentral:rRNA from 1 species